rnacentral:rRNA from 1 species
GAUUAGCUAGUUGGUGGGGUAAAGGCCUACCAAGGCGACGAUCUAUAGCUGGUUUGAGAGGAUGAUCAGCCACACUGGGACUGAGACACGGCCCAGACUCCUACGGGAGGCAGCAGUGGGGAAUAUUGGACAAUGGGGGCAACCCUGAUCCAGCAAUGCCGCGUGUGUGAAGAAGGCCUGAGGGUUGUAAAGCACUUUCAAUUGUGAAGAAGAUUAGUUCGUUAAUAGCGGAUUGAUUUGACGUUAACUUUAGAAGAAGCACCGGCUAACUCUGUGCCAGCAGCCGCGGUAAUACAGAGGGUGCAAGCGUUAAUCGGAAUUACUGGGCGUAAAGCGCGCGUAGGCGGUUUGUUAAGUUGGAUGUGAAAGCCCCGGGCUCAACCUGGGAUGGUCAUUCAAAACUGGCAGGCUAGAGUGUGGUAGAGGAUAGUGGAAUUCCUAGUGUAGCGGUGAAAUGCGUAGAUAUUAGGAGGAACAUCAGUGGCGAAGGCGACUGUCUGGGCCAACACUGACGCUGAGGUGCGAAAGCGUGGGUAGCGAACGGGAUUAGAUACCCCGGUAGUCCACGCCGUAAACGAUGAGAACUAGAUGUUGGUUUCAUAAAAGAGAUUAGUAUCGUAGCAAACGCGUUAAGUUUCUCCGCCUGGGGG